rnacentral:lncRNA from 1 species
GACGAAAGGAAAAAGGACGCGGCGCGUGCGCGGUCGCCGGGCUUUGUCGACCUGCGCGUCGCGCGCAAACAGGACCCUUUUUUCCGUUUUUCUUUUUCUUUUUCUUUUCUCGAUUUUCUCCGUCGCCUCGCGGCCGGGAGAGCGCGGAAAAAGUGGGGGACUCGAAAAAAAAAAGAGUGGGGGGUGGCGCUGGCGGCGCGCACACGACACCGCAGCCAUCGCCUCGCAGAGGGUGUGCGCCCGCGCGCGAGCACAACAUCGUCGCCCGAGCAAAAGGCGGGCGACGCACAGAGGAAAAAAGGAACGCCUGGGAGCCGCGCCUGCGCCACGACAGCACCCACGAAAGAGGUUGCGGAAAAAAAACAUUUUUUUUCAGAAAGAAAAAAAACAGAAACAUCCCCAAGCGAGGACGCACCCAAGAACCGCGGGAUGGCGACCAGGACGGGAACGACGACGCAGACAAAGAGCCCCGGCGCCGAAGGCAAGAGAGAGCGCAGCGGGAGCCGCCGCCACCACCAGAGUCGGCGCCGACGCGACCGCCGCGGCGCGCCCUCGUCGGCGGGAG